UUGGCCCCAGUACGGCGAGUGAGCGGCAAAAGCUCAAAUUUGAAAUCCUGCGGGUAAUUAGUAAUUUGAAGGUUUCGUGGUCUGAGUCGGCCGCGCCCAAGUCCAUUGGAACAUGGCGCCUGGGAGGGUGAGAGCCCCGUAUGGCGCACGCCGACUCUUUGCACCGCGGCUCCGACGAGUCGAGUUGUUUGGGAAUGCAGCUCUAAGUGGGUGGUAAAUUCCAUCUAAAGCUAAAUAUUGGCGAGAGACCGAUAGCGAACAAGUACAGUGAUGGAAAGAUGAAAAGCACUUUGAAAAGAGAGUGAAACAGCACGUGAAAUUGUUGAAAGGGAAGGGCUUGCAAG
rnacentral:rRNA from 1 species